rnacentral:rRNA from 1 species
GACAGAGGCCCCAAGCGUUAGGCGGAAUCACUGGGCUUAAAGCGUGUGUAGGCGGUUUUGUAAGCCAGAUGUGAAAUCCCCGGGCUUAACCUGGGAAUGGCAUUUGGGACUGCAAGGCUUGAGUGCGGCAGAGGAGACUGGAAUUCCUGGUGUAGCAGUGAAAUGCGUAGAUAUCAGGAGGAAUACCGAUGGCGAAGGCAGGUCUCUGGGCUGACACUGACGCUCAUGCACGAAAGCGUGGGGAGCAAACAGG